rnacentral:rRNA from 1 species
GACGAACGCUGGCGGCAUGCCUAACACAUGCAAGUCGAACGAACCCUUCGGGGUUAGUGGCGCACGGGUGCGUAACACGUGGGAAUCUGCCCUUUGCUUCGGAAUAACAGUUAGAAAUGACUGCUAAUACCGGAUAAUGUCUUCGGACCAAAGAUUUAUCGGCAAAGGAUGAGCCCGCGUAGGAUUAGCUUGUUGGUGAGGUAAAGGCUCACCAAGGCGACGAUCCUUAGCUGGUCUGAGAGGAUGAUCAGCCACACUGGGACUGAGACACGGCCCAGACUCCUACGGGAGGCAGCAGUGGGGAAUAUUGGACAAUGGGCGAAAGCCUGAUCCAGCAAUGCCGCGUGAGUGAUGAAGGCCUUAGGGUUGUAAAGCUCUUUUACCAGGGAUGAUAAUGACAGUACCUGGAGAAUAAGCUCCGGCUAACUACGUG